GAAGUGUUUUCCGCGUCAGACCGCACACAAGUCUCCUGGAACGGAGCGUCACAGUGGUGAGAACCCAGUACACGGUGCGGAUGCCUGAUGCUUUGUGAUACACUUUCGAAGAGUCGAGUUGUUUGGGAAUGCAGCUCAAAUUGGGUGGUAAAUUCCAUCUAAAGCUAAAUAUUGGCGAGAGACCGAUAGCGAACAAGUACCGUGAGGGAAAGAUGAAAAGCACUUUGGAAAGAGAGUUAACAGUACGUGAAAUUGUUGGAAGGGAAACGCUUGAAGUCAGACUUGCUAUUCGGAGCUUGCUUCGAUUCGCAGGCCCGCAUCAGUUUUCCGGGGCGGAAAAUCGUAAGGAGAAGGUAGCAGUUUCGGCUGUGUUAUAGCUCUUUACUGGAUUCGUCCUGGGGGACUGAGGAACGCAGCGUGCUUUUUGCAUGGGCUUCGGCCCAUCCACGCUUAGGAUGCGGGUGGAAUGGCUUUAAACGACCCGUCUUGAAACACGGACC
rnacentral:rRNA from 1 species